rnacentral:rRNA from 1 species
UACGUAGGGUGCGAGCGUUAAUCGGAAUUACUGGGCGUAAAGCGUGCGCAGGCGGUUUUGUAAGCCAGAUGUGAAAUCCCCGGGCUCAAUCUGGGAAUGGCAUUUGGGACUGCAAGGCUGGAGUGCGGCAGAGGAGACUGGAAUUCCUGGUGUAGCAGUGAAAUGCGUAGAUAUCAGGAGGAAUACCGAUGGCGAAGGCAGGUCUCUGGGCCGAUACUGACGCUGAGGAGCGAAAGCGUGGGGAGCGAACAGG